ensembl:lncRNA
AAGUUACUCCUGGCCUCAAUGCAUUACAUUAGUACAAACCAUGAAAAGUUCACCACUAAUCAGACUCAUUGGAGAGGAUGAAAACUGCCCGUCCAACAUUGUCUAUCAUAUUAGCUGACAGCACUAAAAAGUAUGCCACUAUUUACAUAUGAGCAUUCACCUAUAAAAUUCUUCCUAAGUUCUCUCCAAGUACCAUUUCUUUAUUCAGUGAGCCACACAAUGGCUGAAGUUUGAAAAAAAUAACAAUGACUCUGUGAAAUUAUGUCCUAUUCCACACUCAACUAAACCAGCUUGGAUCGAUUGCUUUCAUUAUUGUUAUUGACGUCAUUAUUCUUUGUUUUCAAGAAACUCACAUAUGAGUUGGAAUUAGGAACCAAUCAAGACGUAUUUAUUAAGCUGCUAACAAAUGCCUACUAUGGAAUCAGUCACUAUUAGGAACACAAAAUGAGGAAGUACAUGAAGGCAGAACGUCAGAGAAGGAAAUUAAAAUAUACAAAACAAUGCUUUUGCCCAACUGCAGUUCUCAUCACCCAUAAUCAUGGUGGUUAGAAGGUUCUGGAAGAGACUUCUCUACAGGAGACAAGCCAUCCUCUGUCUUCCUCCUCUGCUCCCACCUCUAGCAUGAAUGACCCUAAACCAAUAUGGCCCAAGGGAGAAGAUGACAGCGCUCAAGUCUUCUCUCUUCCACCCAGAGUAUCUUCCUGUUGUGCUUGGAAUUGGAUCUGCCCCACCUCGCCGCACCAAGAGUGUGUAAGAGGGAGAAUUCAGAGCUGACUCCCAUAAUCCUUUAGAAGUAAAACUUUCUAAGUGGUCUCUGCUACGCUUAAAGGAUCCAAACAACACCUGGAAGGCGCUGCUGUGCUUGUUUGGCUCUCACAUCAGCGGGAAGCUUGGGAGCCUCUCGGAUAUUCACUUCCGGCCCCCCGCCUUUGUUUUGGUGCCUCCAAGUGACCUCUGACAUUUAUAGAUUUAUAUAAAAUCGCCUCGAUAUAAAAGCACCUCCAGCACUGCUUCUCUUGGCGGCUCCUCAUCUACUCUCCUCUGUAGUCAGCCCCGGCUCAACGUUUCUUUGCGGGGAGGGAAAGGGGCAUGUCAUCUCUUGCUGUCAGCAGUGGAGACGGGAAGGGGAUGUUAAGAGAAGGUGAAGAGGAAGCUAAAACUGCAGGAAGCAAUCAUGUUACCUCAGUUUCCCCAGACCCACUCAAACCUGGAAGAAACAGAAUCCAUUCACAGAAAAAGUACAAAGAUGGGUUUAGGUCAGGCAGUAGAUAAAAAGCUCCAGUUCCUGCCCUCACACUUAUCCCUUUUCUAAGUGCUGGCUCCCUUUACAAGACAACUUGUCAGAGUUUAUUUCCAUAUUGGCGUCUAUGUCUUCAAGGCACCCAAAGUAUCUUGUGUAUCUUUCAACAGAUCAAAAGGCAGAAAGAAAAAUGUUCUUGGAUCAACUCCUAGAAAAACCUUAAACCAGAUUUUCCUGGGAUAUUUCAGGCCAGUCCAUGCCUGUUAUUCCACACUGUGGCAGCUUUCUUUUAAAAUAUGGAUUAAACAAUGUGAUGAAUGAAAAGAUUAAAAGUUCACAAUUCCAGCAGCACUGGUUUCUAAAUUGCUGGGUUAUCCACUUAAAAACUUCUGUGGACUUAUAUCGUCCUCUCUGCUCUCCGGGGCCACCGCCUUUCUUACAGGGAAAAUGGAGAGCCUGAGCUCUCCAGGCAGAGGGCACCGACGCUUGUCAGGAAUGUUGUAAGGGGGACCAGGCAUCGAUUCCAAAAAGGAGUGGAACCAGGCGGACAUUUGGAUUUGAGUAUUUUCUUGUUACUUGAAAAAGAAUUUGAGUUUAUAAAGAAUAUAAAAUAAUAGAUACAUGGACGAUAUUAACUGGGUUUUUAAUACCUAUAGAUGUCUAUAGAUUGACCAAAUUAC